UACGGGGGGGGCAAGCGUUGUUCGGAAUUACUGGGCGUAAAGGGCUCGUAGGUGGCCAACUAAGUCAGACGUGAAAUCCCUCGGCUUAACCGGGGAACUGCGUCUGAUACUGGAUGGCUUGAGUUCGGGAGAGGGAUGCGGAAUUCCAGGUGUAGCGGUGAAAUGCGUAGAUAUCUGGAGGAACACCGGUGGCGAAGGCGGCUCACUGGUCCGGUACUGACGCUGAGGUGCGAAAGCGUGGGGAGCAAACAGG
rnacentral:rRNA from 1 species